GUAGGUGGCAAGCGUUGUCCGGAAUUAUUGGGCGUAAAGCGCGCGCAGGCGGUUCUUUAAGUCUGAUGUGAAAGCCCACAGCUCAACCGUGGAGGGUCAUUGGAAACUGGAGAACUUGAGUACAGAAGAGGAAAGCGGAAUUCCACGUGUAGCGGUGAAAUGCGUAGAGAUGUGGAGGAACACCAGUGGCGAAGGCGGCUUUCUGGUCUGUAACUGACGCUGAGGCGCGAAAGCGUGGGGGGAGCAAACAGGAUUAGAUACCCUGGUAGUCCACGCCGUAAACGAUGAGUGCUAAGUGUUAGGGGGUUUCCGCCCCCCCCUUAGUGCUGCAGCUAACGCAUUAAGCACUCCGCCUGGGAGUACGGCCGCAAGGCUG
rnacentral:rRNA from 1 species